rnacentral:tRNA from 1 species
GGUUGUGGCUCAGAGGUAGAUCGCCGGCCUACCAUGCGUGAAGCACUGGGUUCGAUCCUCAGCACCA